rnacentral:rRNA from 1 species
UACGUAGGGGGCGAGCGUUGUCCGGAAUCAUUGGGCGUAAAGAGCGUGUAGGCGGCUUGGCAAGUCUGACGUGAAAGCCCGCGGCUCAACCGCGGAUUGUCGUUGGAAACUGCCUCGCUAGAGUCCGGAAGAGGAGAGCGGAAUUCCUGGUGUAGCGGUGGAAUGCGCAGAUAUCAGGAAGAACACCCGUGGCGAAGGCGGCUCUCUGGGACGGUACUGACGCUGAGGCGCGAAAGCGUGGGGAGCGAACAGG